ACCCCUGCUAUACCUACACUGCACUGGAUGAUCCUUGGAGAUCCACAGACAGUCGAUAUACCUACCAAUUAAUGUGUGACAGAGAUGUCAGCUGGAACGGCUGGUACCGUCUCUUCAUUCAUGGUCAGAGCAUUCAGAUGCCAGACAGAUGUGUUGAUAAGUAUAGUUGUGGUACUAAUGUCCCGCUGUGGCUGAACGGCAGACAUCCAAAUGUUGAGGAUGGAGUGGUCACUCGAGGUGUCUGCGGUCACUGGUUCAAUAACUGCUGCCAUGUUCAGUCCAAUCCCAUCAAUGUCAAAGCCUGUCCAGGAGGUUAUUAUGUCUAUGAGUUUGUGAUGCCAGUUAACUGCCAUUUGGCAUACUGUGCAGGUAAGCAUAUUUUGCAUUCACACAUGUAUGUGUUUCUGUAAUAUUUUAUGAUAUUUUUAUGAAUAUUUUAUGAUCUAUUAGUUUUUGGCUCACUGUGGAGGUAAAUACAUUAACAUGCCUUUUGUAUUUGUGUUUUGUUUUUGUUUAUUUAUAAUAUUCAUUACAUUUCUUUGUGCAUAACAAUCCUUCUCUCACUCCAGAGCCAAACUUGCAGUUGUUUGUAGUCUUCUAUGCCCUCUACUGACUGCUGAUGAUGUGCUGAUGACAAUUUGUGUCAUUUAAUGUUUUGACAGUAGUGUUAAUUUUGUUAAUAAAAACUGUUUGCCGAUAAACUUGUUGAUAAAGUUGCUUACUCCAACUUAACCAUCACAGAAACAUCGUUUCAAGUGGUUUUAAUUUCAGGCAGUAAUUUUUCAUUUAUUCUGAUGAAUUAUGGUGACAUUGCUGUGACAGAACAUCCAGUGCAGGCUGGUUAUGACACAAUAAACUCCACACACUACUUUGUGAUUCCUGGAUCAAACCACGGCAGCUUCAUCUCAAACCUCAGGAACUCCAGUAAUGUUGAUGUUCCCGGUCGAUGGGCCUUCAGAGUGGACAGUGGACCAAGAAACAGCAUCUUGAAAAACCAUGUUGUUGGUUUUCGAGUGAGACUUUCCUCAUUUUCAGACCUAACACAGAGGGGAAACAUUGAAAUGCUUUUACAGCAAAUGAAACAGGAGCUGGUCAAGUACGGUCUGCCAAACAGCGUCGAGCUGAAGUUAAGAAAACUGGUAAAGAUAAAGUCAUAAUUACAGUCUUCUUCAGGAAAAGAAGUAAAACUGGUUUGUUUAGCAACUUACAACAAAUAUCCCUCAUGACUGAUGAUGUUAAAGCUUCUGUUUUUCAUUAAGGUGCUAUCAUUUAAAGGAUUACUAAAAACCAGCAUACACUCUUAAAAAUAAAGGUGCUUCACGAAACCUUUUUAUCCA
ensembl:lncRNA